GCCCAGUGAUGGAAAUCAUUGAUUUGAGCUGCUCCAUGGCUAUUUCUUUUGAGCAUUAACUGCAUGCCUUCUUCAUGUCUUAAAACAAAACCACCACCACAGCCACCAUUAUCACCACCACCGCUACCACUUCACUACUUCACCACUUCACCACCACCACCGCUACCACUUUAUCGUCAUUAUUUAUGCAUGUUAAAUGCUCAUCGAGAAAUACCAUUCUUCGAGCUGCAGUGAAUUUCUAAAGCUAUGAGAUCUGAGGGCCUCAGCUAACAGUGUUUGAUUACUGUCGAUUCAUGAUCACCAGUGGAGCAUCCAUUUGGUUUGACAGCACCUAUCUUAGUCCAUCACCGUGGACAGUAAUUACGGAUGGUAAUGUAGACUUACAUACAUGUGAUGAUCAGGGUUACAUUUUUAGAACAACCAGUGUUGCUGUCUUCAACCAUUGCCUGCCUUGAAUCUUAUUAUGUGUUAUCCUUGUUUACGUUUUGCUUAUAUUGUGCACCUUUGUGUCUGUUGUAAUGCUCACAUAUAUCCAACAAACAUUAUUUACAAAAUAAUGGUAUCAGUUUCAUGUUUUUUGUUGUAGUUGUUGUUGUUAUUAGUGUUUCCUUGUAAUGUUGCUGGUAAAUAUUGCCAACUUCAGCAUUGAUGGAUUUGUAUAGCUAACCAUGACAAAGUUCAAUAAUUGAUCAAAUAAUACCAUACUGUAUUUUUCAUGUGAAUUCUUCUCACAAUUCUAUCAUUUUACAUUAUGGCAUAAGUUAGUUAGUUGGAUAUCUGCUAUCAUUUUAUGUUGUGUUAAUUAUUGUUUUAAUGGAUGCACUUAUCUGCUGUUGAGUGUAUUAUCGAAACUGAUAUAUCUUUUAUUUCUUUUUAUGGGUAUAUGCAGGAACAGGUCUUAUGUUUAAGCAGGACUAAGGAUGACUAAGGAGCUCAAUGUUUCUUACACCGAAAUCGAAUUGCAUACCCUAAAAUUCUUAUAGUUUUGUAAAGGGAAUGGCUGUUGUUCACUGUAAUUUUUUUAUGGGCGACCUCAUAUUGUUGUACAAUUUAGAGGGUAAUGGUUGGUCUUAUUUUGGAAAGUUUCUGAGUACUAAAUUAUUUUGGAAUGAUAAUAGAUGUCUAUUUUCAGCAAAAAGAAAGAACACAGUAUUCAGCGAUUUGGCACUGUUUGAUUCUUUUUGUCAUUUUGUCACCCUCUGGUGAGAUAAACU
rnacentral:lncRNA from 1 species